rnacentral:rRNA from 1 species
AUUGAACGCUGGCGGCAGGCUUAACACAUGCAAGUCGAGCGGAAACGGAGGUAGCUUGCUACCAGACGUCGAGCGGCGAACGGGUGAGUAACGCGUAGGAAUCUACCUAGUAGAGGGGGAUAGCCCGGGGAAACUCGGAUUAAUACCGCAUACGCCCUAAGGGGGAAAGCAGGGGAUCUUCGGACCUUGCGCUAUUAGAUGAGCCUGCGUCGGAUUAGCUAGUUGGUAAGGUAAAGGCUUACCAAGGCGACGAUCCGUAGCUGGUCUGAGAGGAUGAUCAGCCACACUGGAACUGAGACACGGUCCAGACUCCUACGGGAGGCAGCAGUGGGGAAUAUUGGACAAUGGGGGCAACCCUGAUCCAGCCAUGCCGCGUGUGUGAAGAAGGCC